rnacentral:rRNA from 1 species
UACGAAGGGGGCUAGCGUUGCUCGGAAUCACUGGGCGUAAAGGGUGCGUAGGCGGGUCUUUAAGUCAGGGGUGAAAUCCUGGAGCUCCAACUCCAGAACUGCCUUUGAUACUGAAGAUCUUGAGUUCGGGAGAGGUGAGUGGAACUGCGAGUGUAGAGGUGAAAUUCGUAGAUAUUCGCAAGAACACCAGUGGCGAAGGCGGCUCACUGGCCCGAUACUGACGCUGAGGCACGAAAGCGUGGG